rnacentral:rRNA from 1 species
ACGUAUCCAACCUGCCCUUUACUCGGGGAUAGCCUUUCGAAAGAAAGAUUAAUACCCGAUGGCAUAAUGAUUCCGCAUGGUUUCAUUAUUAAAGGAUUCCGGUAAAGGAUGGGGAUGCGUUCCAUUAGGUUGUUGGUGAGGUAACGGCCCACCAAGCCUUCGAUGGAUAGGGGUUCUGAGAGGAAGGUCCCCCACAUUGGAACUGAGACACGGUCCAAACUCCUACGGGAGGCAGCAGUGAGGAAUAUUGGUCAAUGGGCGCUAGCCUGAACCAGCCAAGUAGCGUGAAGGAUGAAGGCUCUAUGGGUCGUAAACUUCUUUUAUAAAGGAAUAAAGUCGGGUAUGGAUACCCGUUUGCAUGUACUUUAUGAAUAAGGAUCGGCUAACUCCGUGCCAGCAGCCGCGGUAAUACGGAGGAUCCGAGCGUUAUCCGGAUUUAUUGGGUUUAAAGGGAGCGUAGAUGGAUGUUUAAGUCAGUUGUGAAAGUUUGCGGCUCAACCGUAAAAUUGCAGUUGAUACUGGAUAUCUUGAGUGCAGUUGAGGCAGGCGGAAUUCGUGGUGUAGCGGUGAAAUGCGUAGA